rnacentral:rRNA from 1 species
CGAGCGAACGGGGAGCAGCCCAGAGCCUGAAUCAGUGUGUGUGUUAGUGGAAGCGUCUGGAAAGGCGCGCGAUACAGGGUGACAGCCCCGUACACAAAAAUGCACAUAUUGUGAGCUCGAUGAGUAGGGCGGGACACGUGGUAUCCUGUCUGAAUAUGGGGGGACCAUCCUCCAAGGCUAAAUACUCCUGACUGACCGAUAGUGAACCAGUACCGUGAGGGAAAGGCGAAAAGAACCCCGGCGAGGGGAGUGAAAAAGAACCUGAAACCGUGUACGUACAAGCAGUGGGAGCACGCUUAGGCGUGUGACUGCGUACCUUUUGUAUAAUGGGUCAGCGACUUAUAUUCUGUAGCAAGGUUAACCGAAUAGGGGAGCCGAAGGGAAACCGAGUCUUAACUGGGCGUUAAGUUGCAGGGUAUAGACCCGAAACCCGGUGAUCUAGCCAUGGGCAGGUUGAAGGUUGGGUAACACUAACUGGAGGACCGAACCGACUAAUGUUGAAAAAUUAGCGGAUGACUUGUGGCUGGGGGUGAAAGGCCAAUCAAACCGGGAGAUAGCUGGUUCUCCCCGAAAGCUAUUUAGGUAGCGCCUCGUGAAUUCAUCUCCGGGGGUAGAGCACUGUUUCGGCAAGGGGGUCAUCCCGA